UACGGGGGGGGCAAGCGUUGUUCGGAAUUACUGGGCGUAAAGGGCUCGUAGGCGGCCAACUAAGUCAGACGUGAAAUCCCUCAGCUUAACUGGGGAACUGCGUCUGAUACUGGAUGGCUUGGAUUCGGGAGAGGAAUGCGGAAUUCCAGGUGUAGCGGUGAAAUGCGUAGAUAUCCUAAGGAACACCGGUGGCGAAAGCGGCUCACUGGAUCUCUUCUGACGCUGAGGCACGAAAGCUAGGGUAGCGAACGGG
rnacentral:rRNA from 1 species